CCUACGGGGGGCAGCAGUGGGGAAUAUUGCACAAUGGAGGAAACUCUGAUGCAGCGACGCCGCGUGAGCGAUGAAGGUUUUCGAAUCGUAAAGCUCUGUCCUAAGGGACGAUAAUGACGGUACCUUAGGAGGAAGCCCCGGCUAACUACGUGCCAGCAGCCGCGGUAAUACGUAGGGGGCGAGCGUUGUCCGGAUUUAUUGGGCGUAAAGGGUGCGUAGGCGGCCUUGUAAGUCAGAUGUGAAAUCUCACGGCUUAACCGUGGUAAGCAUUUGAAACUGUGAGGCUUGAGUACAGGAGAGGAGAGUGGAAUUCCUAGUGUAGCGGUGAAAUGCGUAGAUAUUAGGAGGAAUACCAGUGGCGAAGGCGACUCUCUGGACUGUAACUGACGCUGAGGCACGAAAGCGUGGGGAGCAAACAGGAUUAGAUACCCCAGUAGUC
rnacentral:rRNA from 1 species